rnacentral:rRNA from 1 species
GACGAACGCUGGCGGCGUGCUUAACACAUGCAAGUCGAACGGGAAGGCCCUGCUUUUGUGGGGUGCUCGAGUGGCGAACGGGUGAGUAACACGUGAGUAACCUGCCCUUGACUUUGGGAUAACUUCAGGAAACUGAGGCUAAUACCGGAUAGGAGCUCCUGCUGCAUGGUGGGGGUUGGAAAGUUUCGGCGGUUGGGGAUGGACUCGCGGCUUAUCAGCUUGUUGGUGGGGUAGUGGCUUACCAAGGCUUUGACGGGUAGCCGGCCUGAGAGGGUGACCGGCAACAUUGGGACUGAGAUACGGCCCAGACUCCUACGGGAGGCAGCAGUGGGGAAUAUUGCACAAUGGGCGGAAGCCUGAUGCAGCAACGCCGCGUGCGGGAUGACGGCCUUCGGGUUGUAAACCGCUUUCGCCUGUGACGAAGCGUGAGUGACGGUAAUGGGUAAAGAAGCACCGGCUAACUACGUG